AACUAACGCUGGCGGCGUGCCUAACACAUGCAAGUCGUACGAGAAAGUUGGCUUCGGCUGAUGAGUAAAGUGGCGCACGGGUGAGUAACGCGUGGAUAAUCUGCCUUUUAGUUGGGAAUAACGUACCGAAAGGUGCGCUAAUACCGGAUAAUACUGCAUAACUACUGUUGUGUAGUCAAAGAAGGCCUCUGUUUACAAGCUUUUGCUGAAAGAUGAGUCCGCGUACCAUUAGCUAGUUGGUAGGGUAAUGGCCUACCAAGGCUACGAUGGUUAGCUGGUCUGAGAGGAUGAUCAGCCACACUGGAACUGAGACACGGUCCAGACUCCUACGGGAGGCAGCAGUGAGGAAUAUUGCGCAAUGGGGGCAACCCUGACGCAGCAACGCCGCGUGAGUGAGGAAGGUUUUCGGACCGUAAAGCUCUGUCGAGCGGGAAGAAAUGUAUCGUGGCUAAUAUCCAUGAUAUUUGACGGUACCGCUAAAGGAGCACCGG
rnacentral:rRNA from 1 species